CUCCAGCCUCACGAUCUGAGUUCUAGAAUGUCAAAUUGAGUGUUUGCCAUGCUUCGAUUCACUGUUUCCUCCAGCCUCAUGAUUCUAUCACUCAAAUCCCCAGUAGAUUAAUCAUGUAACAGUGACCUUUCUUCUAGGUUUUGAAAUCACGCGGCGCGGGUCAUCGUGGUUUUCUUUGUGAGUUGCGAAAAAAGCGAGGUAAGGGUUUGGUCUAAAUCGGUUGGCCCUGAUGCCAGUUUGUCAGGUGCAUCAACCAUAGAACCUGAGAUGGAACAUGAAUAUAGAUUUUUGAGUAGUUACUUUGGGGCACAAUAGGCCAGCGAGAGAGAGACAGAGAGAGAGAGAGAGGAGAGUUUUAUAAUUACUUUGGGGCACAAUAGUGAUUGCUUUAGCAAUUGUUGUGUUCGCGGCAUUAGUGGGCAUAUUUCUGUAUUUGCGAUGGAAAAAACUCGAACAAGAAGAGAAAUUUCUAAAAGAACUCUUGACGUCA